rnacentral:lncRNA from 1 species
AACAAAGAUUGGUUCUACCUGGUAUACAGCUUAGAACCAAGAACAUGAAAAUCCUGAGGAAAGUCUUGUUGUUUCGUCUACGGAACCGUAAGGAUGAGGUCAGUCCCAUUUCUACUUUUCUUGAGGGAAAUUGCAAAAAGAGGCAGAAUGAUAUGAGAAUAGUAGAGGUAAACUUGGAAGUUUAGAGUACUCUCAGGAAAAGAAAAAAAGAGGUAGAAAGGGGAAUUUAAAGGAAAGGUUUGGGCGGUACAGUCAUAUACUUUGUGUUCACUAUAUAGCUGGAUUGCCAUUACUUUUUUGUCUCUUGCUGUAAAUUAAGAUAUCUUUGUGGCAUUUUAUUUCAUUUUUUUCAUAUUAUAUAGUGUGAAAGUUACUAGAAAGAAAGUAUUUCUAACUUCUAAUUCUCAUCUUUUUAAUGGUAGGUUUAUAAUUCACAUCUCGGGUACAUACAUUCCCUGCCUAGAUUUCCUGCAUAAAAAGGUAAAAAUUCUUGUUUUACUGCACAGUUUUUUCUUCUUGUUAGAAGUUUGUGUCUUGGCUACGCUUACUGUCAGAGCAUGUACGCUAGGGCCCCUACUUGGGUCUCAUUGUACUUGAGCUCAGUUUUAGAGAAGACAACCUUGCCCACCAUCCUCUACACCCAGUCUGGUAACCUCAUUGGAUCAUGCUUAUUGGGACCAUUUUGCAUCAUUUGAUCCUGUCAGUUCAUGCAGUAUUUUAAAUUUGACUAUAAAGCUUGGAAGUAAAUUACCCAUUAGGACCAAACAUCAACAUUGGCUACUCUUCCUUGCAGGAUGGAUACAGAGCUGUCCUAAACACAUGUUGCAACCAAGCUUCCUUUUUCAUAUUCUCAAGAAAAAAAAUAAUUCUGAUCGCGUUGUCUCCGUGGUACUGUUCAUGUGUAUCCUCGCUUGCCAUAAAUUGCUUAAGAAACAAAAAAGCACCAUAGCUGCAUUUUUAAGUGCUUUGUGUUAUCUCAUUACAAAAGUCUUAACUGUCAGCAUGACAUACUGAACAGGGAAGAGAAAAGAUUGUAUGGUAUAUGUACUUAUUGGUGGUCCUGAAAGACCAAGUAAGGCCUUGUCAUGAUAUUUAUUUCACGAGUAAUUAGGUCUUAGUUGGAGUUGAUAUGUGUUCUUUGCUCAGAAUUUUAAUAGAAAAAAGGAAAAAUCAACACCACUUUGUGCUACUUGCAAUAAAUAAACAUAGAGAUAGUCACAUAUAAUGUAUGUAUAGUGUUAACUUUGUGUGUAUGUGUGUUGUUUCUUCCAGUUACAUCAUGUUCUAUUUGUUGUGAGAUUGAAAGAUGUAGGGGCCUUGCUUACAUAGUCGGGAAAAAUGGAAGCAAAUGCUGAAGAAGAUGGCAAUGAGGAGUGACAGUUUGAACAAAGGAGGCAUUGAAAAUGGAAAAAGGUAUUGAUUCUUGUCAUUUGAAUAGGAGUGUUGAAAUUUACGAGUGAGAUGUUAAAUGAUUUCUUCUACUUUACUUUAUAUAUUAGUAAUACAGUAAGUGGCAUCCAACAGAUAGAUCUUAGGAUAUAAUGAGUCACACAGGAGUCUAUGAAGCAAAAAGUUUACAGUGACCAAUUAUGUCAAUAGAUUUGCAGUGAAUAACUACCCUUCGUCGUGUAUCUGUCUUAUGUGACUUUGUUGUGCAAUGAAAACCAGUGGUCUCAACAUUAUUACUCCUUUUCUCCAUGAAUAAAAGAAGCACCUCCUUUCAAUGUUCAUUGCUCAUUGUUACAUUCUAUUUUCUGUUUGCUUUACUAUUAUUUUUAUAUUAUCAUGAUUACAUUGUCCCAAUUAUUGGGGGCAUUGGCUUAUUCACCUUUGUUAUUGUAAUCGUAGCUCACAAUACCUUUGGUCGCUGUAGUGGACAAAUACACAGAAGAAACUUUAUUUCUACCCCUGUAACGAACAGAGCAUUUUAGUCUAGUGGCACAAACAAUUCCUUCUCUUCUCUUCCUGCUAUACUUAUACCGAUCAGUAUAUCAUAAAAAAAUCAGAGUCCCUUGUCGGAAUAAGAUGAAUGGUGUAUCUCUCCUAUUUCUUGUUAUAGAGAAUCAGUGCAUCAUCAAAGAACACCAUGAAUCUCUGUAGACCCCAAGUGAAUCCCUUUCCGUACAGCAACAUUAUUGACAUUCUAUAGAUUUAGUGACACAAAGUUGUUGGGGUUUUUUUCUUUGUAAAAGUGUAUUGUUCUGUGGGUUAAUUCUUUUUAAGUUGUUUAAUGCAAACUUGUCGAGUUUUUGCAGGUCUCAUUGUAGUGUCACUUUCCACUUAAAAGUUUCUUUAAUUUUAUUUCUAAUUUCACAGGUAAAUCGCCGUGAAGAUUGCAAAUAAGAAGAUAGUUGAGCAUUAAGACUGUUUAAGUGGCAUCAUGAUGAGCACAAUAUGAAUAUUAAA